rnacentral:tRNA from 1 species
ACCUUCGUGGUGUAGUGGUCAGCACGCUCGACGCGUAACCGAGAGGUCCGUGGUUCGAUUCCUGGCGAAGGCG